rnacentral:rRNA from 1 species
UACGGAGGGUGCAAGCGUUAUCCGGAUUCACUGGGUUUAAAGGGUGCGUAGGCGGGUAAGUAAGUCCGUGGUGAAAUCUCUGAGCUUAACUCAGAAACUGCCGUGGAUACUAUUUGCCUUGAAUAUUGUGGAGGUGAGCGGAAUAUGUCAUGUAGCGGUGAAAUGCUUAGAUAUGACAUAGAACACCGAUAGCGAAGGCAGCUUGCUACACAAUCAUUGACACUGAGGCACGAAAGCGUGGGGAUCAAACAGG